rnacentral:tRNA from 1 species
UCUUCUGUAGGUUAUUUUGAUAAAUCGUUAGUUUGUGGUACUGAAGAAUUCGUUUAUGAAUGGAGGAG